rnacentral:rRNA from 1 species
GACGAACGCUGGCGGCGUGCUUAACACAUGCAAGUCGAACGGAAAGGCCCUGCUUUUGUGGGGUGCUCGAGUGGCGAACGGGUGAGUAACACGUGAGUAACCUGCCCUUGACUUUGGGAUAACUUCAGGAAACUGGGGCUAAUACCGGAUAGGAGCUCCUGCUGCAUGGUGGGGGUUGGAAAGUUUCGGCGGUUGGGGAUGGACUCGCGGCUUAUCGGCUUGUUGGUGGGGUAGUGGCUUACCAAGGCUUUGACGGGUAGCCGGCCUGAGAGGGUGACCGGCCAAAUUGGGACUGAGAUACGGCCCAGACUCCUACGGGAGGCAGCAGUGGGGAAUAUUGCACAAUGGGAGGAAGCCUGAUGCAGCAACGCCGCGUGCGGGAUGACGGCCUUCGGGUUGUAAACCGCUUUCGCCUGUGACGAAGCGUGAGUGACGGUAAUGGGUAAAGAAGCACCGGCUAACUACGUG